UCGGUUAUUUACUUUAGUUCCUUGCUUCUCUUGGAAAACCGAGCCAAUUCGAGAAGCUGAUUAAUCCGUAAGGAGCAACCAAUG
rfam:Photobacterium jeanii strain R-40508 C1813, whole genome shotgun sequence.